CAAAUUUAAAAUAAGAAUAAGGGAAACCUUUUUGAAAGAAGUUGAUGGGGAUGAAAUUUCUAAAACACACAAUGAAGAGAGGGAGAAAAAGAGAUAUGCAUCUUUUAUGAUUUCACUUCAGAAGAUCAUGCAGGUCGACAUUCUACAACUAGCUGAAAACCACCUGCAAAAUCUCCACUCAAUGAAAGCUUAAAGAUUCAUGAGUACAUGUUAAAAGAAAGAAAGUUAGUAUUCAAUUGAAAAUGUGAAACAAAGAGUCACCAUGCUCAAGAUAAGUGCUUAUGAGAAGAACCAACCAGCUCUUAAAACACCAAAUGUGAAACAAAGAGUCAUACAUACUGCACAACAUCAUGGUUCUGAAUAAAGGUAGCAUUUUCAUUCUCAAGAAGAUAAAGUAAAACCAAUAGAAUAGUUAAAUUUUUGAAAUAAAGUCUAUUCACUAACCAAAAAUACAUAAAAGGAAGUAGGAAGCCACUGUAUAAAUUAUAUGUCACAAAAAAUGCAGAGCCCUCAGAUCUCAUACCUAAGCUUAUAAAUCAUCUGCGGCUUAUAUCACAGGUUUCAUUUCCAGCCUCUGUGCACCAUCUAAAAUAAAUAAAUAAAUAAAUAAACAAUG
rnacentral:lncRNA from 1 species